AUAUUUUUCUUUAAAAUUUUUUUUAGUAUAUACUAUCACUUCUUCUAGUCGUACUAUAAAGACUUAUAAAAUUUGACAAAAUUAUUGGUAAAUCAAAUUUUUUCAUUUGUUUAAUUGAUUUCAAAUAAAGAUUACAUGAUGAUCUAAUCAAAUAUUAUCACGUAUUAAAUUGAUGUAGUAAGUUUUUGGUUAAUCAAAUUAAGCCACCGUAAUGUAGUAAAUAAGCCUUUGGUUAAUCAAAUUAAGUCACUUUUCACUUUGAGGUGGUCAAGCCAAUAAAAUUAUGACAUACCAUUAAAGUGAUAUUUUGAUAUUUAUCUCUAAAUAAAUCAAAGAUAAUUAUCAAAGAAAUUGAAGUAUAUUAAGACUCUCCUCCAUCCAUGCCUAUAAAUAAGGGCGAUCACCAUAUGCUUGAGGCACCUAAUUAACCACCCCUAAAAACCACUCCUAAUCAUGCGUCUGACAAGUGUCAAAUUUUGAUUUAUCAAACAUUCUAUCAUGUAAGGUUGAACCUCAAUGCCACAUGUGAUUUGUGGGUGGUAAAUUAGAGGGAUAUAGCAUUGUUGGUUUUACAUACACAAAAUCAAGAUGUAGAGACAAAAAUCUACAUUAAGAAAGAGAAAGCUCAAUCAAAUUAAAGCCUCUAAAGCCUUGAUGGUCUUUUCGUCAAGUCUGUAUUGCGCUUAAAGCAAAGGUUGAAGAAUCAAAUCAAAUUACUAGUAAUGAAACUCCAUCAAUCUCUAUCACGCUUAAAGUCUAGAGGUUCAAAUCAAAGUUCAUUGUCAAACCCUACAAAUCUAUGGUUGUCUUCUACUAAAUUGGAGAGGAUUCUACAAAUCUAAUUUAAGAAUAAGCUGUCAAGCUCUCGAGUCAAAGUCCUACAAAUUUAUCAUCUUCUUUGCAUUGUUUGGAGGAGAUUUUGCCAUUCAAUUCGGGAACAAGCUAUUAAGCACGUUAAUGAUUUAUUGAAAAAAACUAAAAUACCCUUGUAUAGAAGUAACUUUAAGUGUGUAAAUUACGGAUAUUUGCCAUUUGGUUGGGAGGCAAAAUGUACUUUAAUUUUAUGUGCUUUAUUCCAUAUAUUUUUUGCCUCUUUCACAUGUAAAAAUGAGUAUAUAACCCACUUAUGUCUAACAUGUGUUUUAUAUUUGUUAAGUUGAACGGAAUAUUUAAUGGUGCACUUUAGUCCACAAAUUACAAGGAAGUUAUGUGGUUAUUUCCAAUUGAGAGAGGGGUAAUUCGCACAUAAACAAAAACAUAAUGGGGUAAAGUGAAAUUUGUCUCUUUUAAAUAAAUUUUUUUGACAAUAGAGUGUUUGUAAUUUUUCAAACUAUAGAAAUAAUUCAUAUUUUGAGUAAACCUCAUGAAGUGUGUUUGUAAUUUAUCUUUUUCAAUUUUAUUUUUAAAAGUAAUACAUGUCAGCCAAAAUAUAUACUAUUAGUAAUAUUGAAAAUAAUUCCAAGCAUUAAUACCCUCCAUCCUUAGGGGAGCCGCCCGUAUUACCAGUUAGUGUACUCUUUAACUUUAGAUUUUCAAAAAAAAUUAAAAAUUAAAAAUAAUUUAGUGAAAACAAUAAAUAAUAAUAAUUAUUUUAUAUAGUUUUAUCUUUAGAGAGAGUAGAAAUAAAUUUAUUUUUUUUAAAAUAUUGUUUUCAUAUUUAUUUUUAUUAAAUUAGUUUUUAUUUUUUAAAAAAAUUAAAAAAUUCUAAAAAUAGUUUCAGGAAAUCAAACAAACAUGGCUGAUCAUGUCGAAAAAAUUACUUUUAUCAAUUAAGAUUAGGAGAGAUGGGGUUGCUUGUUAUAUUUUUGAUGAGGUUUAUUUCAGGUCCAUUUAAAUUAUUUGAAUUGUUCAUUUUAGAGAAAAUUUGUCUAAGUUUCCUCACCCAUAUUUAGUAAUGCAAGAAAUUCACAAUAUUAUUUUAUUCUAUCUAAGGUUCUCAACCUCCAUGCUCAUAUAUACCACAGAGAAAUUCCAAAUCAAUCCCACAUCUCUCUCUCUCUCCCCGAUCUCAUCACUUCACCUCCACUGCAGCUGCCGCUUCACUGCCACCGCUGCCAACGCCUCUUCCUUCAGAUCAACUUCGCAAAUCGACGGAUCUGCCGCCAUCAUCACCUGCACUCAAUUUAGACACUUGGAUCCUUUAUAUUUUACACUUGGAUCUUUUAUGUACUGAUAUCUCAUUGAAAUAUCCUAGUGUGAUAUAAUGUUUAUGCCUGUCAGUUCUGAUUGGUUGAUUUCUAUCCAGGCCACUGUAGGUCUGAGGCAAUUCCAAGGCGAUGCAGCUGAUCUAAUUUUGCAAGCAGUCAAGGAUUUUUUUGAAAGAUAAGAGCACCUUGAAAUCUAAGGCUGAUUGGGUCACAGUAUUGGAUGGGGCUUAGGAAGGUGCUUAUCAAUGGGUCAGAGAUUUUUUGAAGGAUAAAGAGCACCUCGAAAUCUAAGGCUGAUUGGAUCGUAUUGGAUGGGGCUCGGGAAGGUGCUUAUCAGUGGGCAUGUGUUUAUGUGUUGGUAGAUUAGGCUUCCUCUUUAUUUGUGUUAUUUAUUUUCAUUGCUGGCUGUGUUAUGUGGAACCAGAUGCGGAAAUGAAGAUGUAUUAGGGGAAUUUCUCUGGAUUUUAUAAAAUAAUAUUGUGUCUUAUAGUUUAGAGAAAAUUGGUCAAAAUGAA